rnacentral:ncRNA from 2 species
UAAUUUCUUCGGGGCAGGGUGAAAUUCCCGACCGACGGUAACAAUCUUUUGAUUGAAGUCCGUGACCCGCGUUUAGCGGUGGACCCAGUGCAAGUCUGGGACCGACAGUAAAGUCUGGAUGGGAGAAGAAAACA